UGGGGAAUCUUAGACAAUGGGCGCAAGCCUGAUCUAGCCAUGCCGCGUGAGCGAUGAAGGCCUUAGGGUUGUAAAGCUCUUUCGCUGGGGAAGAUAAUGACUGUACCCAGUAAAGAAGCCCCGGCUAACUCCGUGCCAGCAGCCGCGGUAAUACGGAGGGGGCUAGCGUUAUUCGGAAUUACUGGGCGUAAAGCGCACGUAGGCGGACCAGAAAGUCAGAGGUGAAAUCCCAGGGCUCAACCUUGGAACUGCCUUUGAAACUCCUGGUCUUGAGUUCGAGAGAGGUGAGUGGAAUUCCGAGUGUAGAGGUGAAAUUCGUAGAUAUUCGGAGGAACACCAGUGGCGAAGGCGGCUCACUGGCUCGAUACUGACGCUGAGGUGCGAAAGCGUGGGGAGCAAACA
rnacentral:rRNA from 1 species